GAUGAACGCUGGCGGCGUGCCUAAUACAUGCCAGUCGAGCGAACAGACGAGGAGCUUGCUCCUCUGACGUUAGCGGCGGACGGGUGAGUAACACGUGGAUAACCUACCUAUAAGACUGGGAUAACUUCGGGAAACCGGAGCUAAUACCGGAUAAUAUAUUGAACCGCAUGGUUCAAUAGUGAAAGACGGUUUUGCUGUCACUUAUAGAUGGAUCCGCGCCGCAUUAGCUAGUUGGUAAGGUAACGGCUUACCAAGGCGACGAUGCGUAGCCGACCUGAGAGGGUGAUCGGCCACACUGGAACUGAGACACGGUCCAGACUCCUACGGGAGGCAGCAGUAGGGAAUCUUCCGCAAUGGGCGAAAGCCUGACGGAGCAACGCCGCGUGAGUGAUGAAGGUCUUCGGAUCGUAAAACUCUGUUAUUAGGGAAGAACAAAUGUGUAAGUAACUAUGCACGUCUUGACGGUACCUAAUCAGAAAGCCACGGCUAACUACG
rnacentral:rRNA from 1 species